CUGCUACUUCUUGCUGUCUCUAGGUCUCCAUCUCCCCACACGCACCUCCUUCUCCCUCGCCCCACGCGUCUGGCUCUCCCAUCUCCCCUGAACCCCUCUUUUUCAUCGCAGUUCUUCACUGUCAGGUGUUUCCCCCCGACUCUGGCCAAACAGAUCAAAGGAAGUUCUGCAUGUUCCGGAUCUGCCUGAGUGGUCGCAGAGUGCAGGUGGGGAGAGCAGUUCUGGGAGGCCGCCCCCUUAAAGGCCAGCCGGUGACUAUGAUUGCAGCCAGGGCGUCAGGUGGAACCUACACCUGAGGCCGCCAGCUCUCUUCCGACCUUGGCGGUCAACGAGCAAGGUC
rnacentral:lncRNA from 1 species